rnacentral:rRNA from 1 species
GACGAACGCUGGCGGCGUGCUUAACACAUGCAAGUCGAACGGAAAGGCCCUGCUUUUGUGGGGUGCUCGAGUGGCGAACGGGUGAGUAACACGUGAGUAACCUGCCCUUGACUUUGGGAUAACUUCAGGAAACUGGGGCUAAUACCGGAUAGGAGCUCCUGCUGCAUGGUGGGGGUUGGAAAGUUUCGGCGGUUGGGGAUGGACUCGCGGCUUAUCAGCUUGUUGGUGGGGUAGUGGCUUACCAAGGCUUUGACGGGUAGCCGGCCGGGGAGGGUGACCGGCCAAAUUGGGACGGAGAUGCGGCCCAGACUCCUACGGGAGGCAGCAGUGGGGAAUAUUGCACAAUGGGCGGAAGCCUGAUGCAGCAACGCCGCGUGCGGGAUGACGGCCUUCGGGUUGUAAACCGCUUUCGCCUGUGACGAAGCGUGAGUGACGGUAAUGGGUAAAGAAGCACCGGCUAACUACGUG